UACGUAGGGUGCAAGCGUUAAUCGGAAUUACUGGGCGUAAAGCGUGCGCAGGCGGUGAUGUAAGACAGGUGUGAAAUCCCCGGGCUCAACCUGGGAAUGGCAUUUGGGACUGCAAGGCUGGAGUGCGGCAGAGGAGACUGGAAUUCCUGGUGUAGCAGUGAAAUGCGUAGAUAUCAGGAGGAAUACCGAUGGCGAAGGCAGGUCUCUGGGCUGACACUGACGCUCAUGCACGAAAGCGUGGGGAGCG
rnacentral:rRNA from 1 species